rnacentral:rRNA from 1 species
UACGUAGGGUGCAAGCGUUGUCCGGAAUUAUUGGGCGUAAAGAGCUCGUAGGUGGCCUGUCGCGUCGGCUGUGAAAACUCGGGGCUCAACUCCGAGCUUGCAGUCGAUACGGGCAGACUAGAGUGAUGUAGGGGAGACUGGAAUUCCUGGUGUAGCGGUGAAAUGCGCAGAUAUCAGGAGGAACACCGAUGGCGAAGGCAGGUCUCUGGGCAUUAACUGACGCUGAGGAGCGAAAGCAUGGGGAGCGAACAGG